GGCACCGAGAAAAUAUAAUUCACAAGUUUGAACAAACAAAGAAAGGUAUGUAGCUCGGGGACGAAGGAGGCUGAGACUUGUGAUCUAAUGUCAGCGCAGAGCUCGAGAUCAUUGUACAGCGCUGAUGAAAAAUGGAAGAGUUACCACUGUUGGUCACAUUGGCUAACAAGGAAAAUGCAACCUUCAGCAGAUAUCGAGGGAAAUAGCCUUCCAUUCGAAAUCAAAUGCACUGUGCAGGGGGGUUUAUUUGGCCUAGAGGAAUUAUUUCAUAUUUUCAGGUGAGCCCUUGUUCAUUUGAUAAUGUGUUAUUCAUUAUGCUCAUACAAUGUUUGAAACAAUAAUUGACCUAAUUUAGUUGUGCUGUAGCGAAAGUCAAUCACUAUUUUAUUAGCACAUAUUAAUGCGCGUUGAGGCUCAUCAAAUAUAACAUGAAAGAAAUACUGGUCAUCCACAAGCUGGAGCACCUAGGCUACACCAAACAAACCUUUUCCAUAAAAAGAGUGCCCCUAAAAAUGUUUCCUAAAGACCUGGAGGCAGUACAUUUUGAAUUUCAGAUCCGCUCGAGUUUGAUGGAGUCGGUAACAUGGAGCAAUAUUAGGCUGACAAGGAUAAAUCUUGCAGCCUGGCGAAUAUGCAGUCUGCGUCUCAAUACACAUCCCAAUCAACAUUUGGGCACAGAGGGCCUGAAGAGACAAGUCUUCAGGGAGACAUCUCACUCGCCCAGAAACAGCCCAAGACUCCAGACCUCUCCUUCUGUUAAGCAUGGACUACCCGGAUGUCCACUUCCACUGGGGGCUGCAGUGAGACAAAGCUACUGGGAUCUCCUAUAGGACCUACGGUCUUCUGACAGACACCUGCUACAGUACCAGGGAGAACCAUGGCACCACGGUCCUCUACCUCUAUUCAUCUAGAUUCUACACUACAGUGUGGUUCAUGCUCAUACUGCAGUGGAACAUGAUGC
ensembl:lncRNA